rnacentral:rRNA from 1 species
GCGUGAAUGAUGAAGGCCUUAGGGUUGUAAAGUUCUUUCGCUGGUGAAGAUAAUGACGGUAACCAGUAAAGAAGCCCCGGCUAACUUCGUGCCAGCAGCCGCGGUAAUACGAAGGGGGCUAGCGUUGUUCGGAAUUACUGGGCGUAAAGCGCGCGUAGGCGGACAGUCAAGUCAGAGGUGAAAGCCCAGGGCCUAACCCUGGAAUUGCCUUUGAAACUGAUUGUCUAGAGACUCGGAGGGGAUAGCGGAAUUCCAAAUGUAGGGGUGAAAUCCGU